rnacentral:lncRNA from 1 species
CCCCUAAUAUUAUUAAGAUAACCGGGCCAGUUUGGCUAACUGGGCCUCUGAUCAUAACAUUUCUCCCCGCCUGCGCAAACAGCUCGUCCUCGAGCUGGAUGUCUAGAAAAUGUUGGCGGAAUUCCUUGAGCUGCUCCCAAGGUGCCUUCGGAGGGUUGAGCUAGUCCGAAGUACGUCGUGCAUCAAGGCCUGGAAUGUCGCCGGCGCAUUGGAGAGACCGAAAAGCA